GACGAACGCUGGCGGCGUGCUUAACACAUGCAAGUCGAACGGAAAGGCCCUGCUUUUGUGGGGUGCUCGAGUGGCGAACGGGUGAGUAACACGUGAGUAACCUGCCCCUGACUUUGGGAUAACUUCAGGAAACUGGGGCUAAUACCGGAUAGGAGCUCCUGCUGCAUGGUGGGGGUUGGAAAGUUUCGGCGGUUGGGGAUGGACUCGCGGCUUAUCAGCUUGUUGGUGGGGUAGUGGCUUACCAAGGCUUUGACGGGUAGCCGGCCUGGGAGGGUGGCCAGGCACAUUGGGACUACGGUACGGACCAGACUCCUACGGGAGGCAACGGUGGAGAAUAUUACGCAAUAGGCGGAAGCCUGAUACAGCAACGCCGGGUUCGGAAUAACGGCCUUCGGGUUGUAAACCUCUUUCGCCUGUGACGAAGCGUGAGUGACGGUAAUGGGUAAGGAAGCACCGGCUAACUACGUG
rnacentral:rRNA from 1 species